rnacentral:lncRNA from 1 species
ACGUUCCCGGUAGGGUUCCCUACGGACCCGGUCCGUCCACCAUCUCCCAGGAUAUCUAGUAAGGCUGUCCACAUUAUCCACUUAUCAAUUCACAUAACCUUUUUGUCUUUUUCCUUAAUCUCAAUCAUCCAAUCAUACAAAAUAUGUAAACCAGUAAUUGACACCAAAUAAGACAAUACAGUACCGGGUUCACCAUAAUACAAACUAUAAUAAAAGGAACCAUAGUUCAUGCAUACGAGACCAUAACAUAAUUACAUCAAACAUCAUACUGCAUUUAAUACUGGAAAUUAAAUCAAAUAAUAACAGACCAACACUGUAUCAGACUCGGGCUCCACUGGCAACCUUAAUCAAUUAUACAUCUAUAAAGUCACACAGUACAGUUUAAUUAUUUAUUUAGCUUUAAUACCGUGAUAGGAAAUAGGGUGAGGGGUCUUUAC